GAUGUAUUACGGGAGUCUAAAUGUACAUAAUACUGUAUUAAUACUUGGUUGCUUGUACAUAUAUAUUGUGUUGCUUGGAAUCUGUAAUUACUUUUAAAUGGACUUUAGUCUUAGGAUCGCUAGCUUGGCUACCAUGUGCUUUGGUCGUAGCUACUUAGCUAGCGUCGACUUCGCCAUGAAAGUGUACUUCAGCUUGUCUUUCUCCCAUGUUAGGCUGCCAUUGUGAGGGUUCUCAAAGAGCAUUUCCCAUGUUAAAUAUUCCACCAGGUAUGUCACCAAACGCCCAUUCAAAUAUUUUGUGAGUCAUUUGUUUAAUGUGAUAUUUAUUUUCAUGUAAAUGGUCAGUCUACGUAUAUCCCGGCUGGGAGAGGCUGCCAUUGUGAGGGUUCUCAAAGAGCAUUUCCCAUGUUAAAUAUUCCACCAGAAUAAACGGCUGGCUGCCAAUGGUUCCAUCGUGGUCUCAAUCACACAACGCAACGAGAGAGUACACAACCGCUACAUAGACACAAGGUGUGCAGCUUCACCCAGCUCCGGAGUCCAAUCAGUCUGUCUGUGGCCAGAUGGGCUGCUUCAACCAAUCCAUCGACGACACCAUCUCCACACACCCCCCAACACCAAAUUGGGGCUGGGGAGAAUCCCCAACCGAUGUUUACUUUCCCACCAAUAACAACCACUAACCGACACUGAUAAAUAUAUAAAAUGAAAUACAUAAGCUGGACUCUGACCUGGGUUAACCUACCCAACAAGGGAUCAUUUCCUUUACCAUGCCUAGAAUAAAUUAAAAAAAGCCCCACUGUCCCCAACCAGCCCAGUUUGACCUCUGACCCACCUCCCUCUCCAUCCUGGAGACCACAGGCCUGGGCUGUUGCCUUGACUGGCCAUGUCUUGCAGGGAUGUCUGGAUGGGCUGACUACAGCGGGGCAAAUUAUGUCAUUUAUUUGUACAGUAAAA
rnacentral:lncRNA from 1 species